GCUUCCAUGGCUCAGUUGGUUAGAGCGCCAGUCUCAUAAUAUGAGGGAUCCAAGGUCCUUAAAUCUGGAGGUCGUGAGUUCGAUCCUCACUGGGAGCA